CCUACGGGUGGCAGCAGUGGGGAAUAUUGCACAAUGGGCGCAAGCCUGAUGCAGCCAUGCCGCGUGUAUGAAGAAGGCCUUCGGGUUGUAAAGUACUUUCAGCGGGGAGGAAGGGAGUAAAGUUAAUACCUUUACUCAUUGACGUUACCCGCAGAAGAAGCACCGGCUAACUCCGUGCCAGCAGCCGCGGUAAUACGGAGGGUGCAAGCGUUAAUCGGAAUUACUGGGCGUAAAGCGCAUGCAGGCGGUUUGUUAAGUCAGAAGUUAAAGCCCCGGGCUCAACAUUGGUACUGCAUGUGAUACUGGCAAGCUUGAGUAUCGUAGAGGGGGGUAGAAUUCCAGGUGUAGCGGUGAAAUGCGUAGAGAUCUGGAGGAAUACCGGUGGCGAAGGCGGCCACCUGGACGAAGACUGACGCUCAGGUGCGAAAGCGUGGGGAGCAAACAGGAUUAGAUACCCUUGUAGUC
rnacentral:rRNA from 1 species